rnacentral:tRNA from 1 species
CUGGGGGUGUAUCAAUGGUAGAGCACAUGCUUAGCAUGCACAGGGCCUGGGUUCCAGCCCCAGUACCCAGA